rnacentral:rRNA from 1 species
CCUACGGGCGGCUGCAGUGGGGAAUAUUGGACAAUGGGGGCAACCCUGAUCCAGCCAUGCCGCGUGUGUGAAGAAGGCCCUCGGGUUGUAAAGCACUUUCAGUGAGGAAGAACGCCUGGUGGUUAAUACCCAUCAGGAAAGACAUCACUCACAGAAGAAGCACCGGCUAACUCCGUGCCAGCAGCCGCGGUAAUACGGAGGGUGCGAGCGUUAAUCGGAAUUACUGGGCGUAAAGCGCGCGUAGGUGGCUUGAUAAGCCGGUUGUGAAAGCCCCGGGCUCAACCUGGGAACGGCAUCCGGAACUGUCAAGCUAGAGUGCAGGAGAGGACGGUAGAAUUCCCGGUGUAGCGGUGAAAUGCGUAGAGAUCGGGAGGAAUACCAGUGGCGAAGGCGGCCUUCUGGACUGACACUGACACUGAGGUGCGAAAGCGUGGGUAGCAAACAGGAUUAGAUACCCUAGUAGUC